CCUACGGGCGACAGCAGUGGGGGAUAUUGCACAAUGGGGGGAACCCUGAUGCAGCGACGCCGCGUGAGCGAUGGAGUACUUCGGUAUGUAAAGCUCUGUCAGCAGGGAAGAAAAUGACGGUACCUGACCAAGAAGCCCCGGCUAAAUACGUGCCAGCAGCCGCGGUAAUACGUAUGGGGCAAGCGUUAUCCGGAUUUACUGGGUGUAAAGGGAGCGUAGGCGGCAGGGCAAGCCUGAAGUGAAAGGCGGGGGCCCAACCCCUGGACUGCUUUGGGAACUGUACGGCUGGAGUGCAGGAGAGGUAAGUGGAAUUCCUAGUGUAGCGGUGAAAUGCGUAGAUAUUAGGAGGAACACCAGUGGCGAAGGCGGCUUACUGGACUGUAACUGACGUUGAGGCUCGAAAGCGUGGGGAGCAAACAGGAUUAGAUACCCGGGUAGUC
rnacentral:rRNA from 1 species